GCUCCGGACAAACGACGCCUAAAAGGCCCUAAAACGAAGCCCUGCUGCACCCAUAGCGGCAUUCAACCAGCUCCCGGGGAAACCCCAGCAAGAGAGCAACAAACUGAUGCCUUUUUUGUAUCCGCAAACGAGCAGAAAGACCCGACGGAAAACCGGGGCCUACCCUGCCUACCAAGCCACGAGGCUAGCACAAGAACUUACAGCCCUGAGAGUGCACCAGGACGCCUACCUGCAGAUUGGGUCAGCUGUGCCUAACGACCACAACAUGGGCAGAAAAUCCCAGAGACCCACACAGAAUACAAGCAGGACCACACAGGACAUAGGCGACCUACUGCAAAGACCUAUGGCGCCCAAGAUGGCGGCCUCGCCAGACCGCACAACUGCCUCCCAAGAUGAAGGAGAGCAAUCAGGAGCCGAACAAGAACUAUUAACCGCUCACCCAAUAAGGGAUCCACAAACUAACAGCACUAACCUCACACCGGCCACCAAACAAGACAUAGCCGACCUGCUGAAAGAAAUGAGACAAAUGCACGCAGCAGAUAUGGACUUGCUAAGGACCGAAAUGCAGGCAAUAAUUACACGCACUCAAGCCACUGAAGAGGACACCCUUGACUUGAAACAAGAGGUACAGGGGCUAAAAGAACAAAUAAUACUCAUGCAGACAUCCCAAUCCAACCUCACUACGAGAAUGGACCUAGCAGAGGACCGCAACAGACGCACUAACUUAAAACUGAGGGGGAUACCGGAUAGUGUGGACUCCACAGAACUAACCCACUACCUCAGACGUCUCACAGCCACGCUCCUACCGCACGCCCAAGCCAAAAAAUUCACACUAGAUGGCUUCUUUAGGAUCAAAAAAGCAAGACAAGCUCCAGCCACAGCUCCACAAGAUGUCAUCAUUCGGUGUCACUCAGUGGCAGACAAAAUCAAGAUCCUUACAGCAGUCCGGGGAAGGACACCACUUGCAUUUGAAUCAUCCCACAUUACCUUCUAUCAGGACUUAACAAGAAACACGCUGUUGUGGCGCAGGUCCCUGGCACAAGUGACAAGCAGUCUGCGCGAAGCUAAAAUUGAGUACAAAUGGACUCUACCAAGGACUCUGACUGUUACCAAAAACGGUACCACACACAAUCUAUCCUCACUACAGGAGGCAGAACAGUUCCUACGCGCAGUGGGGAUUCAUGCCGGAUCCGCAGCACAAGAAACUCCCACAUCUUCGCACACCUGGGAUCCUGACAGAACAACUCCAUUCAUCCCCAGGAAUAGAGAACACCGGAGAGAACCGACCUGAACUGUAAAAAUUGUAGCCAACACGCAUACAAUGCAUUAACUGGUUCCGGCCUCGCCUUCUGUUUUACCCUUAGUUUCUUAUGUUGUUUUCACUGUUUAAGUUUCUCAAUGUAUUACUGUAACAUAUGCACUUAUACGACUAACUAUACGCGACACUAUAACUGCUGCCGUCAUGACAUCAGACAAGACCUACCCUGAAAAAGCUCCAGGGAGAAUACACCUCCUCCCACCCCCCCCGUGACCCCCUUGGUAAGGAGUCAAUUCCCAACCCACUGGACGAUCGCUGAGGCACACAUAGGCUCAAAGAGCGACAACCCCCAUAUACAUGUAUACCUAUACACAACAGACACGCGCUGACACACGCGGACUUCAUAGCACUCACCUGUG
rnacentral:lncRNA from 1 species